rnacentral:rRNA from 1 species
GACGAACGCUGGCGGCGUGCUUAACACAUGCAAGUCGAACGAUGAAGCCGGAGCUUGCUCCGGUGGAUUAGUGGCGAACGGGUGAGUAACACGUGAGCAAUCUGCCCUUGACUCUGGGAUAACUGCGGGAAACUGUAGCUAAUACCGGAUACGACACCUUGGGGCAUCCCAGGGUGUGGAAAGAAUUUCGGUCAAGGAUGAGCUCGCGGCCUAUCAGCUAGUUGGUGAGGUAAUGGCUCACCAAGGCGACGACGGGUAGCCGGCCUGAGAGGGGGACCGGCCACACUGGAACUGGAACACGGUCCAGACUCCUACGGGAGGCAGCAGUGGGGAAUAUUGCACAACGGGCGAAAGUCUGAUGCAGCAACGCCGCGUGAGGGAUGAGGGCCUUCGGGUUGUAAACCUCUUUUAGCAGGGAAGAAGCGAAAGUGACGGUACCUGCAGAAAAAGCACCGGCUAACUACGUGCCAGCCGCCGCCGUAA